rnacentral:rRNA from 1 species
GACGAACGCUGGCGGCGUGCUUAACACAUGCAAGUCGAACGGGCUGCCUGGUUUUCGGAUCGGGUGGUGAGUGGCGAACGGGUGAGUAACACGUGAGUAACCUGCCCCUCUCUUUGGGAUAACGUCGGGAAAUCGGCGCUAAUACCGGGUAUUCUGGCUUCCUCGCAUGGGGUUGUUGGGAAAGGUUUUUUCUGGUGGGGGAUGGGCUCGCGGCCUAUCAGCUUGUUGGUGGGGUGAUGGCCUACCAAGGCGGUGACGGGUAGCCGGCCUGAGAGGGUGUCCGGCCACACUGGGACUGAGACACGGCCCAGACUCCUACGGGAGGCAGCAGUGGGGAAUAUUGCACAAUGGGCAGAAGCCUGAUGCAGCGACGCCGCGUGGGGGAUGACGGCCGUCGGGUUGUAAACCUCUUUCAGUGCAGAACAAGGCUCUUUGUGGGUUGAGGGUAUGCGCAGAAGAAGCGCCGGCUAACUACGUG